UUAAUGGCUGUCCGCGCCAUCAUUAAAUACACCCUCUAUGGACCAGAAGGGUGUAUGGAUUUGGAAGGGAUGAUGGCGUGAGGAUUUGCAGUGGGCGUGGCAUGUUUGCGCGCCCAUUGUCCAACACAUGACCACCAUCAAGCGGCUGCUGGUCCGGCCGCCCGCUGGUAAAUACCUGUGCAGGGCUGCUCGCUGGUGUGGACUUGGAUGCUGUUGCUGCUGCUGCUGGUUGCUGAUUUCUCUUUUAAUGGCUGCGUCGUCGAUGUGGAUUUGGAUGCUGCUGCUGCUGCUGAAUGCUGUUUGGUGAGUAUUUGUAUUUGUUGUUUUUAUUUGUAUUUAUUGUAUUUAAUUGAUUCUUUUUUAUUUCAGGUUUCUCAGCAGAGGAAAUAGCCGCCCACGAUCGCUUCCUGUGGACUCUCCUUGGACCAGAAGGAAGUGACUGGGCUUGCGGUGGAUGCUUGGAUGCUGUUGCUGCUGCUGGUUGCCAUCGCUUGUAGGUUGCUCUGCCGAGGCUGCGUCGUCGCUAAGGAUUGGAUGCUGUUGCUGCUGCUAGUUGCCGGUCGCUUGCAGGUUUCUCUGCCGUGGCUGCGUCGUCGAUGAAAGUCAGCAACGUCCUCGACUAAUACACUCUCCAUGGACCAGAAGAGUGUUUUCCAAUAGAGAGGAUGGUCGGCGUAAGGAUUUGUGGAGGGCGUGGCAUGUUAAGGCGGCCCGUGUCCAGCACUAAACCAAGUGCAAACGGCUGUUAAUCCGGCCGCCUGCAGAUUUACAGCACAGGCUGCAUCGUCGGAUAGUGGGAUCCAAAUCUCGCUCCUUGCUCCAGAAGGAUGUGUAGCGGCUUGGGGAUGGUGAGGCGUGAGGAUUUGCGGAGGGCGUGUCAUUUUUGGGCGCCCCGUGUCCAACUCUCGACUGGAAUCAAACGGUUUCUGGUCGGUCCGCUUGCAGAUGAGUGUUUUCUUUCUGGAUUUUUUGUUUGUAUGUUUUGUUUUAAUUGAUUUAUUUUAUUUUAUUUUCAGGUUAGCUGGAGAGGCUGCGUCGUCGCUAGGGAUUGGAUGCUGUUGCUGCUGCUGGUUGCCGGCCGCUUGCAGGUAAGUGAGUUAUUUGUUAAUUUAUUUUUGUUUUAUUUUAAUUGUUCUUUUCUUUUAUUUCGGGUUUCUCUGUCGUGGCUGCGUCAUCGAUGAGUGUCGGCAACGUCCUCGACCAAUACACUCUCCGUGGACCAGAAGAGUGUUUCCCACUAAUGAGGAUGGUCGGCAUAAGGAUUUACGGAGGGCGUGGCAUGCGUGUGUGCAUAUUUAUCUGUUAUAUUUCUCUUUUUGUUUUGUUUUAAAUUAUAGUUGUUUCCAA